UUAUAUAUAUUUUUGUUAUCAUAACACGAGAAAUGCAAUAGGUUAAUCAUACUUUUCCAGUCUGAUGUUUAUUAUCGUAAUUACAAAAGAAAAUUAAAUUUUUUGUGCCGGAAAGUUUUACAAAAUCACAUGAGGAUACUCAAUGUGACUAUUAAAUUGUUGGAUAAAAUUUUAGAAAAUUUGAUUAUCUAAAUUAAUAGUUUGGGUGCCUAAUUGGAAAAGCUGAAAUAAAUUCAGGGCCUUUGUACUUUUUUUUCUUAAUAAAAAUUGAGAAAUAUUAUUUCUAUAUAUAAAAAGGAGUGUUUUAUAUAUCCUCUCAUCGUAGAUUUAUGAAUUGUUUGAAAUUUUAGUAUUAAAAUUUCUUUGAAAUUUUAGUAUUAAAAAAAAUUAAUAAGACAUGAACCUAUAAUUGGCUCUUGAAUGAGAGGUGUAAGAUUUGCAUCUUCUUUGAGAGUGUAUCCGUGAUAGUGUUCAUAAAAAUUUAAAAUAAUUUUCAUACAAAGUCCUAAAUUUUAGAUAAAUUUUUGAGAAAUUAUUGUGCUUUCGUCCUUUAAUGCAAGUCUCUAAAAAUUUUUAUUUUUUUCUAAUUUCAUUAAAAUUUCUACUUUGCAUAUUUUAAAGAAAAUUAAGAAUAUUGCUAUGCUUUUGUAAAUAUGUCAUUUUAAACAUAGCAAAAUAUUUUUUUAUUAUAGUUUUAAUUUUCGUAGUGUAACAUCCUAUCGUUAAAAUUUUUUAUAAAUGUGGAACUGAAAAGAUCUGUAACAAAGGAAUAAAAAAUAUUUUAUAUAUAAAAAUGCAUUGAGAUUUAUGAAAGAUGCUCAAUAAAGCCCUUUUCACGAGAAUAUUUUAAAACUUAAAAACAUAUAAAAAUAUAAAAAGAUGGAGACUUCUUUUGAAGUCAUUGGAGGAGAUAGGGACCAGCUUGUACGAAAAUUAUCUAGUACACGUUAUUCAAGAGAGUAUGGUAGAGUUACUGGUUUUGCUUCAAAACCAGGGGCCUGAAAAUUCCAUUUUAUUAGUUCUGGCCGAAUUAAGAUUUUUUUUUUAUUUAUAAAUACUUAAUUUUUAUUUUAUUUUUUUUAAUUUUUAAAAAUUUAUAUUUUAUUCAAUUAUUUCAAAUUAUUGCUGGAAAUAUAAGUAGAAUUCGAAUUUGGGACAUCGGUACUAAGCAUCAAAAACUUUGCCAUUUGCGCUAGAGACGGUCGGUUUUAAGGAAACAAAAUAUAAGUUUUCGAAAAUCAGGAAAAAAAUAAAAAAGAGAGUGUUUACGUGGAGGUUUUCUGUAAUUUAAUUAUUAGUUUUAAAAUUGAUUGUUGUAAUUACGAAAACUGUAGC
rnacentral:lncRNA from 1 species